AACGUAGGAGACAAACGUUAUCCGGAGUUACUGGGCGUAAAGGGUGUGUAGGCGGUUCUUUAAGUUUGGUGUGAAAUCUCCCGGCUCAACUGGGAGGGUGCGCCGAAUACUGAGGGACUAGAGUACGGGAGAGGAAAGUGGAAUUCCUGGUGUAGCGGUGAAAUGCGUAGAUAUCAGGAGGAACACCGGUGGUGUAGACGGCUUUCUGGACCGACACUGACGCUGAGACACGAAAGCGUGGGUAGCAAACAGG
rnacentral:rRNA from 1 species